rnacentral:lncRNA from 1 species
UCGGAGUCGUAAGUGAAUGCAAUACAUAUUGCAAACGGUAUACUAACUGUAUACAGUGUCACAGUGAUAUCAAGUAUCAAGUGACACGAUGGUAAUAUAUAAGAUGCUACAACAAAGCUCCACUGAUAAAUUCUAUCCACGCUAACCAAUGUCCGUCACUGUUAAGAAAUUCUUAAUGUCAAUUGAAGAAGGUUAAAUUUCUUCUGAGCUUUUCCUCGCUGGUUUGAGAAUGGUGCCAAUUCUACCAUUCUGGUAGUUCGUUUAUUUGGUUAAUGUCGCUAACCAAUGUCCAAGUCACUGUUCAGAAAUUCUUUAUGUCAAUUGAAGGAAGGUUAAAUUUCUUCUGAGCUUUUCCUCUCUGGUUUGAGAAUGGUGCCAAUUCUACCAUUAUCUGGUAGUUCGUUUAUUUGGUUAAUGUUGCUAACCAAUGUCCAAGUCACUGUUCAAAAAUUCUUGAUGUCAAUUGAAGAAGGUUGAAUUUCUUCUGAGCUUUUCCUGUCUGGUUUGAGAAUGGUGCGAAUUCUACCAUUAUCUGGUAGUUCGUUUAUUUGGUUAAUGUCGCUAACCAAUGUCCAAGUCACUGUUAAGAAAUUCUUAAUGUCAAUUGAAGGAAGGUUAAAUUUCUUCUGAGCUUUUCCUCUCUGGUUUGAGAAUGGUGCCAAUUCUACCAUUAUCUGGUAGUUCGUUUAUUUGGUUAAUGUUGCUAACCAAUGUCCAAGUCACUGUUCAAAAAUUCUUAAUGUCAAUUGAAGGAAGGUUAAAUUUCUUCUGAGCUUUUCCUCUCUGGUUUGAGAAUGGUGCCAAUUCUAGCAGUAUAUUGGACCAUCUUCAGAGGUCAAUUGAGGGAACUGCUUUAAUCCAUAAUAUGGUCUCUCUUGAGUAUUCUGCCAAUGACACAUACACCGUUCUGAUGUUCGGGAAUGGCUGUAAUUGUUGACCAAGGUAAUGAAUGAUUUAGUGGUAGUGUUUUAGGCUGGAUUUGGUUGACCAAUGAUGGAUGCCUAUUUCACACGCCCUUUCUUUAAACCACACGGAGUCCUCAUUCUUGUCCUAACUCAAGUCAAUGGUCAAGACUGUGUGGAAGAAACGCAAUUCAGCUGAUCAAGUUAAGAAAGCCUGCAGUUGUUGAGUGAAAAGUGUCCUUGCCCAAACUGCUCUAUUGUGCUCUGGAUGAGGAUGUUCAAUAUUAUGUUAAUCUUCUGAAGCAAUUGCAUUAAGAGCUUGCACUUAGUUAUUAUUGUGUUUGGUAAGAGGUGCAUUCAAUACUGGCUCUUGUUAAUGAUUGAGAAUGGCAUUUGACUAGGUUCCUAAAUUCUAGAGCUGUUGCUCUUAGAUUUGAUCUUCUAAUUCUCGAUGGUAUCUUGCCCAAAAUUACCUCCGGAUCAGUCUUUACUCGGAAACUCCAACUCAAAUUUUGUUGUGUUUGUUGUAGUUAACCAUAUUCAAACAGAGUCAAAUUUACAAAUAUUGACAGUUCGUCCCGAUGUCCUUGAUCUGCUGAUGUUUAGCAGAACAGCAGGUUCAUUUUGCGACACUUUUCCACCCAACGUGAGCAUUAUAGUACGGAAUAUUCACAUCAGUCCAUUUUCCUUUCCAUCAUUCGAAACCCUUAAGAACAGUCUAGUAUUCAUGUCUUGUUUCUUCGUGCCCAUUCUAAGAGUGUUCAAGCCUUUCUCAAUUUCUCGCCUUCAAAGAGAAGCACGUUGGUUGUUACAGCGCUUUAAUUUUAGGAUACAUAGAGUUUGGUUGACUCGCUUGUCUUAAACUUAAUGAUAGUAUCCGUGUGAAAGGGCGCCAUUUCUCAUGGAUACUCUUGACAAAUUUUUUGGAAGAACAUGAAGCUGUGUUGGGGAUGUAUGAAUGAAUGUAUGAGCUAGUCUGAUUUCAAGUAUGUCUGAUAACAUGUGUGAGAGAGAUGGUGGUGGUAUUAUAGUCACACAGCUUGGGGCCCCGUGUGUUUAGAUGGUGGCAUUUUAUGUGUUUUGUAUUUUGUGUGCUUCAAUGUUCUUCUAAAAAUUUGUUUGAAAACUGCGAGUUGAAGUAGGAGUUAGACAGGCGCGGAUUCAGAGGAGGGGGAUAGGACUAAUUACCCUGAGGUAGCUUAGGUAGCUUCGGACUCAAAGGUAGCUUAGGUACUAGGAAGGCCGCCUGGAAGAUAGGCAACAAGCACUAUUUAGCUCCUGUAAGCAGGCAACAAGUAUUGCUUCUUCACCCCCUCCAUAGGAAAAUUCUGGAUCCGCGCCUGGAGUUCGGAGAUUAUCCAGAUUAUGCAAUUGCCUAUUCGGGCUAUCCAGUUUGCAAUGAUCGUAUUUGAGCCCCCCUGCUCUGUUGAUUGGAUGGAAAAUGCAGCCGAGUAUUUGAGUGAACGCACAGACUUGGUGGCGUCCUCUCAAGCCUGCAUUGAUCAAGCGCCAUAGAAUCUCUGAACAUGUGGCAAAUGAAUGUGGCACCCUCACUGCAUUUGUGCGUUAGAACCUGUGUUACUGAGAGUAACAUUUUGAAGCUGGUCCUUCCUGAAGGCCCCUAUCUUUUUAGUAUAGCUGUCCCUUAAUUACCCAGCUUAUGAUUCUACCGUUUCCAUGAUAUGCGUUUUGACAAUUGUUCAUGGGCUGAACACUUCUUCCUCUUUUUAAGUCUGUUGAUCACUUUCUACCUGUCCAAUGUCAUGCUCACUUUCAUGUCACUGAAAGUCACUGCGUCACAGAACCUCAUGAUUUACUCACAUUCGCCCCCUUCUGCCGAUGGCUGCAUCCCUUUUGAUUAAGAAGUGUAAUUCAUUGUCAUUUUCUUAAUAUUUGGCCCUUCCAAUGGAAUUUUAGGAUCCAGGCCCCCCCCGCCCCGAAUUAUGAAUUUCGACUCUGUUUGUUUAUGAUGCAUUUCUCUCUUUUUCUCCUUUUCCCCUUUGUUAAAUCAUGUGCUGGUGCUUAUUUAUAUGCUUAGUUUUGUGGAUAUUAUGUGCCUCUGGAUUUUAAAUGUAAAUUCUGACCUGGAGGAUAAGGGCAAGCAUUGAAUUCAGUACAAUACAAUAUUGUUGUAAAAGCCAGUUAGAUGAGCCUUUGUUGGAUCCUCUCUUCCAUUCACUCUGAUGCUAGUGUUAGUCAACUCCUUAUGCUUCUUCAGUUUCAUUUUAUUUUGAAAUGUUAUGUGCGCAAGUCAGACAGGAAUGUUUUUGUGUAUGUUUAGCCUGUACUCUUACAAUGUUAGUUUGUAGCAACCAAACUUGUUCAAUAAUAGCUUUGUUGAGGAGAAAUGAAAAUGUUAUAGCUAAGGUUAUUUUAUUAUUAUUUUUUUACGUCCAUAGAGCUGAACUUGGCCUGCGUCACAGGCGGUGCAGAUGCAUAGCUUCCUGAAACUUCAAUUUGUAUCGGAAUUUUGAUUGUUAAUUCCCAUUCUAGGCAUGUUGAUGUGCAGGCAUUCAGCAAGCGAGUAACAUUGUAGAAGCCAUUCAUAAAAACCUCUGUUGAUGCCUCUCUCAGGUGUAAGUGUGAACUCUCCAUGGUUCUUGUAAGGAAGUUUCGUUUUAUCUAGGAAUGUAUCAUGCUCGAGUUGGGCAGGAAUAGAUUUUGGUGUAUGAUGAGCUUGCACUCAUACAAUAUCAGUUCUUUGUUAAUUGCAAUGGUGUAUUGCUCUUUGAGUGAAAUGUUUACUUAUAUUCCUUAAGUUUCUUGAUUAGUUUAAUUCAAUUGAGAAUUAAUGUUUGUGACAAAGAAGGGUGUUCCUCAUGUAUGUCGCUGCUUUUAUUCCUUUUACCUUUUAAUGUCGAUGUAUUCUUAAUAUCUUCAUUUCAAACUUUGGGUCCUGUUUGUAUUUUGUGUAUUGUUACAUAAGUUACUAGAACGCCAAUAUUGUCUGUACAAUAUUGCAUUUGCUUAUUCCUGUCAUAGUUUAUCUUUUUUGCUUUUCUUGUUUUUGUGUUGGUUGAGUUCUGUACUAUUUAAGUUAGGAUUUGUCUGUAAAUUUGAUGGUAGGCAACUAUAUGUAUGUGUAUUACUGUUGCAAUGCUGUAGCAGUUUUUAUUAAGAUCAAAUGGUGUAAAACUGAUUUUUAAAAAAAAUCAAAGAGGCGUAUUGUUUCACAAAAAAUAUUAGUGAUGGGAAAAAAUUGUCAAAAAAAAAAAAGUAAAAAGAGCCCUUGAAAAAAAGAAAAGUCAGAAAAAAAAAUUGUUGAAAAGUAAAACCUAAAAGAGAAUAAAGAAACUGUACAAAAAAAUAAGAGUUUUGAAAAAAUUACAAAGGAAAAUAAUUAUAAAAAAAGAAAGUGUAGUGGUUUGCAUUUCGUCUUCGAGGUAGUUCAACACUUCAUCAGCGCUACUAGGCCUGAGCAGACCUGUAAGCAACUACAACAGACUCAGGACUCAGACUGCAAGACUCCAGCACAUCAGUUAAAAAGUUGAUAGGACCGUCUCUGACCCUGAUUUAGACCUUCAUGAAUUUUAUCACAUUGAAACAAUUCAAGUUCUAUUGUCUUCAGUUGAUAAGCCUAUAUGCCUACGUAAUGAACGACUUUCAAUACGUUAAAUUUGUUUUUGACUUCCGAUAUGUGAAUUCAUUGAGACUUUUCAUAAUAAGUCGGGUUGAUCACAACAUGUGACCGUGUUUUGGAACAUAAAAGAAAUGAAUUGAUUGAUGGGAAAAAUGAGAGCAACUAAAAAUCUACGCAUCCAACAAGCCACUGAGCUUACACGCCCAAAGUUGUCUGUUCAAAGGUUGUCUUCCUGCCUCUCUGCCAUUGAAUUUGUGUGGAGGCCAUGAACGUGCCUGGUAGUGUGUGGCAGGCAUCCCAUACCAGGAACAACAUCUGUAGCGGAGAUAGCCAAUAAUUGCUUUGAAUCUUCAAACCACAUGGAGUGUUGUUAGCCUGGCAAUAGCAACUACAUGGCCUGCUGUCCUUUGCUGUGGUGGUGUUCUGCCUAUGGAUGUGACUGCUGCCAUUGCCAUCAUCCAGACUAAGAACAGCAUCAUGUUCGUCGAUUGGUUGACCUAUUAUGUUGAAGGUGGGCAUUAACUAGAAGGCCUCUACCGUCGUGUGUGGUGUUGGCCAGAAAUGCACUUAUUUGCUGCGUCAUGCUGGAAGAAGGAAAGGCUUUGGUUCAUCAAUACCUGCUGGGUGCCUUUUUCACACACCCCUUUCUGCUCUUCUGAAAUUACCAGCAGUUUGUAGUGACUUGGAGUCACUAAUGGAGAAUUCGAUCAAAGUCGAUUAAAGAAAAUAAAAUUUCUUCUGAUGUUUUGGACCAUCUUGAUUACAGAGGUCUAUUGAGGGAAUUCUCUUUCUUGCUAUCAAGGGACCUCUUUAAUCCAUCGUAUGGUGUCUUUUGAGUAUUGUGCCAAUGGCACACUGUUCUGGUGUUUGGUAAUGGCUGCAUUUGUUGACAACCAUAAAAAAUGGUUCAGGUUUAGUGGCCAUGUUGAAGGGCUGGGUUUGGUUCACCAAUAUCUUCUGCAUGUCUCUUUCAAACGCCCUUUCUGCAAAGCACUUUUGAGAUUUUAGUGGGCCGUGUUGAAGGGCUGGGUUUGGUUUACCAAUACCUUCUGGAUGGCUGUUUGAAACGCCAUUUCUUCAAACCACACAGAGUCCAUUGUCAUCCUAACUCAAGUCAAUGGCCAAACGCUGUGGAAGAAACGCAAUUAAGCUCAUCUAGCUGAAGAAGACUUGGCUAGCACUUGAUCACUAUCCAGCUUACCCUUUGGCCUCGUUAGAGGGCCAGGACUGAUUCACUGGAUACUUCGGCCUCGGUGGCGUCCCGCGCAGCCAUCUUGUCGAUGUCAGUCGAAUUUAGUUGGCGGCAACCCCAUUAGAUCACCCAGUGACAACUGAAACGACUAGCUUACUCCAUGCACGUGUACUCCAGACUCUUGAGCGAGUAAUUGGUCAUAUUGGAGCUGGUGGAGGGGUGGCUGGUGAAUUGAAGAAGGUUGAAUUUCUUCUGAGCUUUUCCUCUCUGGUUUGAGAAUGGUGCCAAUUCUACCAUUAUCUGGUAGUUCGUUUAUUUGGUUAAUGUCGCUAACCAAUGUCCAAGUCACUGUUCAAAAAUUCUUAAUGUCAAUUGAAGAAGGUUGAAUUUCUUCUGAGCUUUUCCUCUCUGGUUUGAGAAUGGUGCGAAUUCUACCAUUAUCUGGUAGUUCGUUUAUUUGGUUAAUGUCGCUAACCAAUGUCCAAGUCACUGUUUAAUUCUAAAUGUCAAUUGAAGAACGUUGAAGAGGUCCAGGACUGCUUGUCCAAACUCCCUGGUGAGGGCCUUCACGUCGCGCAUCUCCCUGUACAUCCCACUGGAAGGAGGUCCUCGUUGACAUCCCGCGCAGCUAUAACAGAGUUUCUCAUGGCUUGAAUUAGUGCUCGGCUGCUCUCCUCCACGUCGGCCUCCAAUUCAGCCAUGCAAGCAGAAUGGGCAGCAGCCGCCGCCGUGGCCAGCUGACCCUGCUUGACCUGGUUGUCCAGCGUAGUCUGCAGGGUUUCCUCGAGGUCAUGGGGCGCCUCGCCUGGAACCGGCAGCUCACUGAGAUUAGUCCCGCAGUAGGCCCGCAAGUACCUGGCGAAGUUGUUGUAGAUGGCCACUUGCAAGGGACUGAAACAGAAGACAUUGUGGUUAAACUGGCGGCACGCUCGUCUGAUGUGGAUCGCCUUGUGCCUGAAGUCAUUGAGAGGGGUGGCACAGAACUCGCACUUCAUUUUGCCUGGUGUAGGGGCACAUCCGGGCAGGUUGGCCGUGGGCAUUCCAUUCGCCCUCCGUGCCGGUGACGUCCACUUCACAAGUUGCAAUUAGCUCAUACAUAGCACGGUGAGACGCUCCCAGCUCCACCACCUGGAUCCUCGGAAAGUUGUUAAACGCCAUCUGCUGGCGGCGAACAUACGCCUGGUGAGCGGAGCGUCCUCUAGUAGAAAAAUGUUGAGCAACCUCACUAAGUAACAGUGAAAGGCUCAUGCUUGAUGAAACCGUUUGCUGAACAUCCAUCCUUGAACCUUUAUCUUGGACGGACAUGCCUUGAAAAUGAUUUGCUCUGACACUUCAGCGCCAAGACUAUGCCUUUAUGGUUCGUCACUGCAGUGAUGAAGUGGCAGCUCACAAGCCGCUAGGCCAUUGUUUUGCAUGGCUUGCCUGUUCAUGAAUGGAAAAGUGUCUGUUCCUGAAAUGUGCAGUACCAUUGACAAUUGGACUUGAAUGGCCUCUGACUUCGGAGUGAUAAUUUAUUUGUUUUUGCUGUGGUGGUCAAAACUCAAAUAUCACUUGGUAGCUCUAGUACAUUUGUGUCUAUGGUGGUAUGAAACUCAAAUGGAAAGAAGCUGAAGCUUCAGCUGCUGUUGAUCCUCUACUAGCUAGUACCUAGAUGCCAAAACUCAUUAGUCCCUGGUCACGACAACCUGGCCAGGUCACUACGGUAUUAGUGCACUGGUAUGUUGGAGACGUGUGGGAGGAGGUGACCGGGCUGCUUUACGGAAGGAAUAUGGAGGGUCAGCAUCAACAGAGUUGAUGAUGAUGAUGAAGGUGGUGAGGAGUAUUGAAGACUAACUGCUUGUGGUGCUAAACCACGUAUGUCUGAAGGAAUCAUACCUGUAAUACGCUGUGGAGAGACGAUAUGGAGUCACUUUGCGUUUUGUGAUUAACCAUUUGAGGGGCCGCUCUGUUUGCCAAUGAGUUAUUUCACAUUCCUGGUUGGGGUAACUUUCAAUUCAAAUUGCAUUGAAAUGCCAGCCAUAUUUAUUAUUGGAAGUCUGUGGAAGGUCUGAUUAUGACAUAGAAGACCCUCUAACUUCGAGAUGUUGCUGCUAAUGGGGUGCCAGGGGAAUCUAAAUAUCCAACUUAACUGCUGAGGAAAACUGGUAUUCGGAUAUGAUGUCCAUAGAAGCUAGAUCAAUGAAGUGGUGAAGAUUUUUGAUACUGCGACAACAAAUUUUCUCGUUUGUGGUGGUAUUAACACCUCACUAUUUUUUGAGGUUGCGAGCUUACUUCAUAGUGAUCAUUUAUUUGUCAAGGCAGCUGUAGUACAUGGAAAGAUGCUGGCCUUAGGCCCAUGUCAAGGCACCUGUACUGUGUAGAAUUGUUUUUCUUGCUAUCUCUCUUUUUCUCCUUUUUCACUUUGCUGUUAAAUUAUGUGCUGGUGCUUAUUUAUAUGCUUAGUUUCGUGGACAUUAUGUGCCUCUGGAUUUUAAAUGUAAAUUCUGACCUGGAGGAUAAGGGCAAGCAUUGAAUUCAGUACAAUACAAUAUUGUUGUAAAAGCCAGUUAGAUGAGCCUUUGUUGAAGCUUCUCUUCCAUUCACUUUGAUGCUAGUGUUUGCCAACUGCUCAUGCUUCUUGAAAGGCAGUUAUAUUUUAUGUGUGCAAGUCAGACAGGAACGUUCUGGUGUAUGUUUAGCCUGUACUCGUACAAUGCUAGUUGUACAAUGUUAGUUCCUUCUUAAUUAUUUGUGAUGCUGUGUUGUAUUUUUGAGUGGUAUGUUGGAACUUUUUUUAUUACUCUGUCGGUUCUGUUCAUGGCACUAUUGCAAUAGUGUCUCCUUUAUGGAGAAAUGGAAAAGUUAAAACUUGGCUGCGUUGCAGGCAGCACAGAUGGUCAGUUUUCUGAAACUAUAAUUUGUAUCGGAAUUUUGAUUGCAAAUUCCUAUCCUAGGCAUGUUGAUGUGCCAGCAUUCAGCAAGUGAGCAAUAUUGUAUAUGCCAAUUAUAUAAGCCUCUGUUGAAGUGCCUCUUAAAUGCAAGUGUGAACUCCUCAUGGUUCUUGUAAGGAAGUUCCGUUUUAUUUUGGACAGGAAUAGAUUUUGGAGUAUGAUGAGCCUGCACUCGUACAAUGUCAGCUGUUUGUUAACUGCGAUGGUGUAUAUUGCUCUUUGAGUGAAAUUAUUCCUCAUUCUCGAAGUUUCUUGAUGAUUUUUUUGUCAAUUGAGAAAGAUGUUUGCGACAAUGAAGGUGUUGUCUUAUGUAUACCUUUUGCCUUUAAAUGUCCAUGUGUCCUUAAUAUUGUCAAACUUUGGAUCCUGUUUGUAUUUUGUGUACUGUUACAUCAGUCACUAGAAGGCUGUUAUUGUCUUUGCAGCAUUUCAUUUGCUUAUUCCUUUCAUAGUUAAUUUGUGCAGCUUGUCUUGUUCUUGUGUUGUUUGAGUUGUGUGAUCUCUAAGGUAGGAUUUGUAUGUAAAUAUGAUGGUAGGCAACGUAAAGUACGUGUACUGUUACAAUGCAAAAGCAUUUUUAUGAAGAUCAAAUGGUGUAUCACUGAUCAAUAAAGGACACAAAGAAAUAUUGUUUAGGAAUUAAUGUUACAGUAACAAAAAAAAUGUGAAAAAAAAGUGAAAAGAGCCUUAAAAAAAAGAAACAGGCCAAAUAAAAAAAUUGUUUAAAAAGAAUGAAAAAAAAGCAUAGUGUUCAUUUCUGUUUUUGUUUUUGAGACUUAUAAGGCAGUUGAACACGGCACAUCAGUUAAGACGAGAUCUGACCCUGCUUUAGACCUUCAUGAAUUUUUUCAGGCUGAAACAAUUUAAGUUUUAUUGCCUUGCAGUAGACAAUCUUAUUUGCCUGUUUAAUGGACAACUUGCAAGACGUUAUGAUUGUUUUCGACUGACAAUACUUGAAGGCAUUGAGCCUUCUCAUAAUAAGUGGGGUCGAUCAUGUUGAUAUACCAACAUGUGACCGUGAUUUGGAACUUGAAAUAAGUGAAUUGCUUGAUGAGAAAAAUCAGCAACUCCAAAUAUGGGCAUCCAUCGCGCCACUGAGCCGACACUCUCGCGAUUGCCUGUUCAAAGGAUGUCUUCCUGGCUCUCUGGCAAUGUUUUGUGCGUGGAGAUCAUAAGUGCCUGGCUCUGUGUGUCAAGGCAGCUGUAGUUUGUAGAAUUGUUUUUCUUGCUAUCAAGGGACCUCUUCAAUUCGUACUAUGGUCUCUUUGGUUAUUCUGCCAAUGACACGUACACAGUUCUGGUGUUCGGCAAUGACUGCGUCUUUUGACAACCAUCCUGAAUGGAUGCGGUUUAGUGGCUGUGUUGUAGGGCUGGUUUUGGUUCUUGAAUUCAACUAAAUUCGAGUCACUGAUAACGAUUCCAUCAAAGCUUACUGUGGAUGAAAUAAAAUGAAAUUUCUUCUGAGGUUUUGGACCUCACAUUUGCUGUGAUGAGGAGAUUUUCCGACAGGUGAUGAAAAGAAAGCUUAAACCUGGAGGACAGAAUGUGACAGUGUCUCAAGUCUCGUUCCCAUUCUGAUACUACGAGUAUCUCGUAUUUAGUUUCAUUUUGGUUUCAUUCAUAACCAAGUCUAUAAGUAAUAGAGGGAUUCCAUCAACUCUAUUUAAUGAUGAUGCAAUAUCUUCGCUUGUUUGUACAAUCUGUCUUUGUUCAAGUCUCCUUCCAAUUCUGAUAUUAUGCCAAAGCCUAUCCGUCAAGACCCUGGAAGUCUAAGCAACUUGCAUUCGUGUUUUUCUCUUCCAGUUGGCAAACAGAAAGUUUUCUUCAGCUAGCACCAGCCUAUAGACAGCCUAAAUGCUCCAAGAAGUUUCAAUAACUGAUAAAUUAGGGCAGGAGGCUUCAUCAUUUGAACCAAAUGGCACACUCAGAUUGUGAUGAGUAAAUAUGUGCAUGUAUUCACCAUAUCAGGUGCCAUGCUGGUCAAGAGAGCGUGCACACACUUCGGUGAAUGCCGUGCUUGGGAGUCUGAAUCUCACUGCUUCACUAUGCCAGUCAUUCAAGAGUGGAGUCCUGGCUGCUUCGAACCAAUCUGAGAAGAGCAUCACGUUGAGCAGCUUGUCAAGUCACCUGCUUUUGUUCUAUUGUGAGUUAGGAUAUAUCCUAGUACUGUAUAUUCUGAGAGUGGCGGACAAGAGUUAAGUGUCCAUGCCAUAAUUGCACUUUUGUGCACUGGAUGAGGAUGUUCAAUAUUAUGUUAAUCUUUUGAACGAAUUUCAUUAUGAGCUUGCUCUCAGUUAUUGUGUUUGGCAAGAGCUGCCUUCAAAACUGGCUCUUGUCUAUGAUUGACAAUGGCUUUUUGACUAGGUUUCUAAUUUCUAGAGCAGUUGCUAACAAAUAGAUCUUCUAAUUCUCAAAGGUAACUUGCCCAAAAUUUCCUCCGGAUCAGUCUUUACUCGAAAACCCCAACUCCAAUUUUGUUUAUUUGUUGUGUAUAGUGAACCAUAUUCAAACAGAGUCUCAAAUUUAUAGUUUAAAUUGACGGUUUGUCCGGUUGUCCCCUUGUUCUGCUGAUGUUUAGCAGAACGGCAGGUUCAUUUUGUGACACUUUUCCACCCAACGUGAGCAUUAUAGUAGGGAGAAUUCACAUCAGUCCAUUUUCCUUUUCAUCAUUCAAAACCCUUUUAUUCAUGUCUUGUUUCUUAGUGCCCAUUCCGACAGUGUUCAAGCCUUUCUUAAUUUCGCUCUUUGAAAGAGAAGCACCUUAGUUGUUACAGACCUUUAAUUUUAGGAUAGAUGGAGUUUAGUUGACGCGCUUGUCUUAAACUUAAUGAUAGUAUCCGUGUGAAAGGGCGCCAUUUCUCAUGGAUACUCUUGACAAAUUUUUUGGAAGAACAUGAAGCUGUGUUGGAUGUAUGAAUGUAUGAUGUAUGUAUGAUAACAUGUGUGAGAGAGGUGGUGGUGGUAUUAGUCACACAGCAUGGGGCCCCCUGUGUUUAGAUGGUGGGGUUUAGUAGUAAUUUGUGUGCUUCAAUGUUCUUCCAAAAAUUUGUUUGAAAACUGCGAGUUGAAGUAGGAGUUAGGCAGGCGCGGAUUGAGAGGAAGGGAAUAGGAUUAAUUACCCCCUCCCUUAGGUACUAGAAAGGCCGAUGAUUUGUGGUCCAACCAAUAUUAGCAAUAGCAAUCGCCUGGAAGAUAGGCAACGAGCACUAAGUAGCUCCUGUUCGCAGGUAACAAGCACCGGUUCACCCCCUUGACCGCCUUAGGAAAAUGCUGGAUCCGCGCCUGCAGUUAGGAGGUUAUCUAGAUUAGACUAUUGCCAAUUUGGGCUAUCCAUUUUGCAAUGAUGGUAUUUGAGCCCUCCUGCUCUGUUGAUUGGUAGCAAAAUGCAGCAGAGUAUUUGAGUGAACCCACAGACUUGGUGGCUUCCUCUCAAGCCUGCAUUGAUCAAGCGCCAUAGAAUCUCUUAAGAUGUGGCAAAUGAAUGUGGCACUCUCACUGCAUUUGUGCGUUGAACCUGUGUUACUAAGAGAAACCCUUUGAGGCCGAUGCUUCCUGAAGGCUGUUAUGUUUAGUGAAGCUGUCCUCUAAUUACCCAGUUAAUGAUUUUUAUGGGCUGAACACUUCUUCCUCUCUCUAGCUCUGGUCACUUUUUACCUGUCCAAUGUCUUGCCAUCUUUCUCAUCACUAAAAGUCACUGCGUCACAGAACCUCAUGAUUUACUCACAUUCGCCCCCUUCUGCCGAUGGCUGCAUCCCUUUUGAUUAGGAAGCGUAAUUCAGUGUCAUUUUCUUAAUAUUUGGCCCUUCCAAUGGAAUUUUAGGAACAAGCCCCCCAUGAAUUAUGAAUUUCGACUCUGUUUGUUUAUGAUGCUUUUCUCUCUUUUUCUCCUUUUCCCCUUUGUUAAAUCAUGUGCUGGUGCUUAUUUAUAUGCUUAGUUUUGUGGAUAUUAUGUGCCUCUGGAUUUUAAAUGUAAAUUCUGACCUGGAGGAUAAGGGCAAGCAUUGAAUUCAGUACAAUACAAUAAUGUUGUAAAAGCCAGUUAGAUGAGCCUUUGUUGAAGCUUCUCUUCCAUUCACUUUGAUGCUAGUGUUUGUCAACUGCUCAUGCUUCUUGAAAGGCAGUUAUAUUUUAUGUGUGCAAGUCAGACAGGAACGUUCUGGUGUAUGUUUAGCCUGUACUCGUACAAUGCUAGUUGUACAAUGUUAGUUCCUUCUUAAUUAUUUGUGAUGCUGUGUUGUAUUUUUGAGUGGUAUGUUGGAACUUUUUUUAAUUACUCUGUCGGUUCUGUUGAUGGCACUAUUGCAAUAGUGGCUCAUUUAUGGAGAAAUGGAAAAGUUAAAACUUGGCUGCGUCAGUUUUCUGAAACUUUGAUUUGUAUCGGAAUUUUGAUUGCAAAUUCCUAUCCUCGGCAUGUUGAUGUGCCAGCAUUCAGCAAGUGAGCAAUAUUGUAUAAGUCGAUUAUAUAAGCCUCUGUUGAAGCGCUUCUUAGAUGCAAGUGUGAACUCCUCAUGGUUCUUGUUAGGAAGUUCCGUUUUAUUUUGGACAGGAAUAGAUUUUGGUGUAUGAUGAGCCUGCACUCGUACAAUGUCAGCUGUUUGUUAACUGCGAUGGUGUAUAUUGCUCUGUGUGAAAUUAGUGAAAUUAUUCCUCAUUCGUGAAGUUUCUUGAUGUUUUUUUUGUCAAUUGAGAAAGAUGCUUGUGACAAUGAAGGUGUUGUCUUAUGUAUACCUUUUGCCUUUAAAUGUCCACAUUUCCUUAUUAUUGUCAAACUUUGGAUCCUGUUUGUAUUUUGUGUACUGUUACAUACAUCAGUCACUAGAAGGCUGUUAUUGUCUUUGCAGCAUUUCAUUUGCUUAUUCCUUUCAUAGUUAAUUUGUUCAGCUUGUCUUGUUCUUGUGUUGUUUGAGUUGUGUGAUAUCUAAGGUAGGAUUUGUAUGUAAAUCUGAUGGUAGGCAACGUUAAGUUCGUGUAUUAUUGAUACAAUAGGUCAAGGUUCCCUUUUUUUAAACCCUGCUAACUGCCUUCUCAUUUUUUCAUUCUAAAUGUAAUGCUUAUCUGAUGACUCUGUCUUUUGUUUCCUAUUUUAAAGCGAACAUGCUGGUAUGUAAAUUAUUCUGCUGUUUUUCAUGGUUGAACUUCUUUUACCCAAUACAACGUUGUUUGUUCUGCAUGAAGUUUACAGUAAAGAAAACUAUUUGUCUCUUGUU